GAUGAAGAACGCAGCAAAAUGCGAUAAGUAAUGUGAAUUGCAGAAUUCAGUGAAUCAUCGGAUCUUUGAACGCACAUUGCGCCCGCUGGUAUUCCGGCGGGCAUGCCUGUUCGAGCGUCAUUUCAACCCUCAAGCCCCCGGGUUUGGUGUUGGGGAUCGGCUCUGCCCUUCUGGGCGGUGCCGCCCCCGAAAUACAUUGGCGGUCUCGCUGCAGCCUCCAUUGCGUAGUAGCUAACACCUCGCAACUGGAACGCGGCGCGGCCAUGCCGUAAAACCCCAACUUCUGAAUGUUGACCUCGGAUCAGGUAGGAAUACCCGCUGAACUUAAGCAUAUCAAUAAGCGGAGGA
rnacentral:misc_RNA from 1 species